rnacentral:rRNA from 1 species
AUUGAACGCUGGCGGCAGGCCUAACACAUGCAAGUCGAACGGUAACAGGAAGAAGCUUGCUUCUUUGCUGUCGAGUGGCGGACGUGUGAGUCAUGUCUGGGAAACUGCCUGAUGGAGGGGGAUAACUACUGGAAACGGUAGCUAAUACCGCAUAACGUCGCAAGAGCAAGGAGGGGGAGCUUCGGGCCUUUUGCCAUCGGAUGAGCGCUGAUGGGGUUAGCUAGUAGGUAGGGGAACGGCUCACCGAGGCGACGAUCCCUAGCUGGUCUGAGAGGAUGACCAGCCACACUGGAACUGAGACACGGUCCAGACUCCUACGGGAGGCAGCAGUGGGGAAUCUUGCACAAUGGGCGCAAGCCUGAUGCAGCCAUGCCGCGUGUAUGAAGAAGGCCUUCGGGUUGUAAAGUACUUUCAGCGGGGAGGAAGGGAGUAGAGUUAAACCCUUCGCUCAUUGACGUUACCCGCAGAAGAAGCCCCGGCUAACUCCGUG